UAAAUCAUAGUCAAUAUUUAUGAUAUAUGACUUGCAUUCAUAAGGAGUUUUCUUUUAAACUGGUUUA
rnacentral:tRNA from 1 species